AAAGCACCUGACUCUGGAUAUACGAGUGGUGGGAUGGUGAAGCUUAGUUGGUUAAAAGAGACCUUCUCCCAGUGUCCGGAGGAUGCUUCCAUGGAGGAUAUUGCUCGUUGUACACGUGCUUAUCUUCUUUACCUGGUUGGUAGCACCAUCUUUUCAACUACAACUGGCAAUAAAGUACCUGUCAUGUACCUUCCACUGUUCGAAAAUUUUGAUGAAGCUGGCAAGUAUGCUUG
rnacentral:misc_RNA from 1 species